rnacentral:rRNA from 1 species
CUACGGGGCGCUGCAGUGAGGAAUACUGCGCAAUGGACGAAAGCCUGACGCAGCCAUGCCGCGUGCAGGAUGACGGCGCUAUGCGUUGUAAACUGCUUUUAUAGGCCAAGAAACCUUCGGACGUGUCCGAAGCUGACGGUAGCAUAUGAAUAAGCACCGGCUAACUCCGUGCCAGCAGCCGCGGUAAUAGCGGAGGGUGCAAGCGUUAUCCGGAUUUAUUGGGUUUAAAGGGUCCGUAGGCGGAUCAUUAAGUCAGUGGUGAAAGCCGGCAGCUCAACUGUCGAACUGCCAUUGAUACUGGUGAUCUUGAAUACGGUUGAAGUUGGCGGAAUAGGUCAUGUAGCGGUGAAAUGCUUAGAUAUGACCUAGAACACCGAUUGCGAAGGCAGCCAACUAAGCCGUUAUUGACGCUGAGGGACGAAAGCGUGGGGAGCGAACAGGAUUAGAUACCCGUGUAGUC